ensembl:lncRNA
AGAAUUGAAAGACAGACUUAUUUCUAUUUGUUCUUGAGUUUAGAAAUAUAGUUUAGAAUUUCUUAAUUUUUAAAACGGCUUUAGGAAGGGCAAUAUUGAUAGCAUUAGCUGGAAUUACUGAAAAAAACCUUAAGUUAAGACUUUUACAAACCUCAAGUUCAGGUGUGAAAAUAGAAGAAAGUACCUCCUCUGGGCAAAGGGACAUCUUGAGCAGUCAUCCGGCCCAUCCCUUCGGAUUAUUCAAGCCUGACAGAAAGGUUUAGAAGCCCUGAUUCCCAGAAGAAAAUGCUUUCAUCAGUCAACAUUACAUUUAACUUGAAGCCACAGCUGCUGCCUAGUCACUUUGGGCUUAUCAUGUCAAAAGACCAGCAUCAAGGAAAGAGGUGACUAUGCUAACAGGGAGAAUUAACCCUGAUCACCAGGUUUCUCCAGGAAAAUAUGGGCAUCAGAAUCAUGAAGGAGCUACUCCCAGAAGGUGGAUUUAAGCAAUGCCAAGAGUGAUCUCCAUACAUGUUGUAAUGUGGUAUGCAUAUUUUCCCACUUCAAUAUUAAUCACCCAGUCCAUAAGCUACUGGAAAUUGCCCUCAGAUGAAAGGAAUCACCCUACCCAAGACCACAUUCCCUUCCUAGGACCUGCCCUCAUCCAAUGACCGGUUGAUGCUGGAUAUAAAGGACCUGCCCCUUGCCCCAACUGGGGACAACUGGAAAGGUCAGCUUAGCUCCAAAGCACUCCAUAAAAUGGGCUGAGAUCUUCAUUGUAGCUCCAUCACAGUUCUACUUUUCUCUCCCCUCUCCAGUCCUUCUUUCUUCCACUCCCAACAGUAUUGAUUCCAAGAACACUCCCUAAUAAAACCCCUGAAUACAAGUCUCCAUUUCAAAGUUUUUCUCAGAGAUCACAACCUACACCAUGGGAUGAAAUGUUAUUAUUAUUAAAUGCUUAGUCUAUAUUAAUCUAAUUUAUACCCC